rnacentral:lncRNA from 1 species
UGAAGCACUAUAACAGGUCCUGCAGAAUAAGAAUACCAUCCCACCAGACUUGCACUUGCUUAGAUCAGAAGUAGAUACAGCUUAGUAGUUGCAGCAGCUGAUGGGAGUAAGUCAUCGUCCUGAAGAUUAGUAAACUGUAUGAAAAGCCAGAAUAUGAAAAGUUAUAUAUCUAGCCACAUGCGAAGCGUCAAGCAGACAAAGGCACCAUCAGUCAGCUGAUCCACUAUAUAUCCAUUGACCACUAAACCUAAUCCACUCUCUAGCUGUAAAUAUUUUACGCUGAGUUGGUUUUUGCCUGGAAAGUGAUGCAAUCUGCAAGCUUGCAGGGAAUUUUAGGGUGUUAGUGUGUUACUAGCGUAUUACAUAAUGGAUAUAUCAGUUUGAUGAAAGAAUAAGGCCCAUCAAUCACUACCAUGUCGAGAACAAGGUACUCCCUUAGCUUGUGAGGUGCUUGGAUUAGAUUUAGUAGACAGAGGAAGAACGACAUACCUAGAGCGUCCGAUCAUAGGCUGACACAGUUGGGUCAUCAAUGAAGUCACAAUGAAGUCUAAAUUUGGAGUCAUUAAUGGCAAUCCUCACGUCCUGUUUGACCUUCUUAUGUACUCAUCCAUAAAAGGUGUCCUCUCGUCCCAGGACACCGCCAGUGCCACCAGUUAUUGUCCCCACAACGGCACCGGCGUUAAUCUGUUUCCGGGGUGGUGG